rnacentral:rRNA from 1 species
CCUACGGGUGGCAGCAGUGAGGAAUAUUGGUCAAUGGCCGAAAGGCUGAACCAGCCAAGUCGCGUGAGGGAAGAAUGUCCUAUGAGUUGUAAACCGCUUUUGUCAGAGAGCAAAGUCACACACGUGUAGGUGGUUGAGAGUACCGGAAGAAAAAGCAUCGGCUAACUCCGUGCCAGCAGCCGCGGUAAUACGGAGGAUGCGAGCGUUAUCCGGAUUUAUUGGGUUUAAAGGGUGCGUAGGCGGUUUAUCAAGUCAGAGGUAAAAUCGUGGAGCUCAACUCCAUCCAGCCGUUGAAACUGAUGAUCUUGAGUGUGCGAGCAGUAUGCGGAAUGCGUGGUGUAGCGGUGAAAUGCAUAGAUAUCACGCAGAACUCCGAUUGCGAAGGCAGCAUACCGGAGCCCGACUGACGCUGAAGCACGAAAGCGUGGGUAUCGAACAGGAUUAGAUACCCUUGUAGUC